rnacentral:ncRNA from 2 species
GUGGAAUGAUCGCCCGGACGGUUGAAGAGGAACACCGGUGACGGCCUGGCGGCCGGAGUCCGGGGCGGUCCCGCCACUGUGACCGGAGCGAUCCGGAAGCCAGGACAUCUUCGUCCGUCCGCCAGGGAGC